rnacentral:rRNA from 1 species
CCUACGGGUGGCAGCAGUGGGGAAUAUUGGGCAAUGGAGGCAACUCUGACCCAGCAACGCCGCGUGAAUGAUGAAGGUCUUCGGAUUGUAAAGUUCUGUGAUGGGGGAUGAACACAAUGACGGUACCCCAAUAGCAAGCCCCGGCUAACUACGUGCCAGCAGCCGCGGUAAUACGUAGGGGGCAAGCGUUAUCCGGAAUUGCUGGGUGUAAAGGGAGCGUAGACGGUAAUGCAAGUCUGGAGUGAAAGGCGGGGGCCCAACCCCCGGACUGCUCUGGAAACUGUGUAACUGGAGUGCAGGAGAGGCAGGCGGAAUGCCUAGUGUAGCGGUGAAAUGCGUAGAUAUUAGGAGGAACACCAGUGGCGAAGGCGGCCUGCUGGACUGUAACUGACGUUGAGGCUCGAAAGCGUGGGGAGCAAACAGGAUUAGAUACCCUUGUAGUC